rnacentral:misc_RNA from 1 species
CAACCCUCAAGCCUGGCUUGGUGCUGGGGCGCUGCCCGUAAGACGGCAGGCCCUGAAAUCCAGUGGCGGGCUCGCCGGGACCCCGGGCGCAGUAGUUUAUACCCUCGCCCCGGAAGGCCCUGGCGGUGCCCUGCCGUUAAACCCCCCAACUCAUGAAA